AGCCGAUGAUGGCGAGCUCCACCAUGAGCCACAGGAUGAUCCGAGGAACCUGGGGGGGCAGAAACGUCAGCAUCCACAACGAGAGGGAGCAGCAUCCACAACGAGAGGGAGCAGCUCGCUUCUCCCUGUCAUUUCCACGAGGAAUGUGUGAUUAUGGGGCCUGCCCACUCGGGACCUGUUGCUUUUUCCCUGCUUUGCUGCUUCCACACCGAAUGAAGGUGCGGGAAACACGCUGCCAAGUGGCACUCGGGGCUGGUGUGGGGCAGAAAUGCAGGUUACCUGUGGCAAUCCCCAGGGGAGGCUCCCGGGUCACUUAUAUAACCCCAAUUACUCGUCCUAACAGAUACGGCGCGUUGCGAGAGUGAAACCAGCCGGCUCUGCCUGCCGAGGAGCCGGGGGCCCUCUCGCACGGUCACGCCGCAGUCUCGAGGGUUUGGGGACGCCGCCGACUUCCCCAGCCGCAGCGGAGGGCGACGCACGGCCCCGCCGGCUCCUGCAGCAGGGGGAUGUACCGCGAGAAAAGGGCUCUGUCUGCGAUUCACUGCCAAGUGCCAGGACACUCACCACACCUCCCUCCUCCUGCAAACGGGGAAAACACCGACGGGACCUCAAGUGUCCCUGAGCCACCCACCCAGGCUCUCCUUCACCAGGGCAGCUCUCGGGCUGCGCUGAAAGCCUCUCUCUAAACCUGCCUCCUUCCAACCAUGCAGAAGAAAUCCACUUAAUCCCCCAGCUCCCCGAACAAUAAAGAGACGAGACUGAAAACGUAUUUUAGCAACCCAAAGACCUUCUCCCACGGAGGAUUUGGCACCGUGAAUGGUGGCAGGGGGAGGUGGAAGAGCCCCCGGGCAGUGGAGCACCCACCUUUUGGUACUGGCGGUGGCAGACCUCGGCGAGGUGCAGCCCCGUCACCACGCCGAGGCGCGCGGCCAGCCGCUGCAGGAGCAGCCCCAUCACCGUCGCCAUCAGCAGCACCCACAGCAGCUGGGGGGAGAGGAGGGCAGCAGUGGGUGCCUGGGCGCAGCGGGGUCCCUGCAUCCCACACCCGCCUGCUGAAUCAGAAUGGUUUUAUUUAAAAAA